CACGUAGUUAGCCGUGGCUUUCUUGAAUGGUACAGUCAAUCUCUAAUCAUUUCCUAUUAGAGCCGUUCUUCCCAAACAACAGAACUUUACAAUCCAGAGGACCGUCACCGUUCACGCGGCAUUGCUCGUUCAGGGUUUCCCCCAUUGACGAAUAUUCCUAACUGCUGUCUCCCGUAGGAGUCUGGGCCGUGUCUCAGUCCCAGUGUGGCCGAUCAACCUCUCAGUUCAGCUAUGCAUCGUUGACUUGGUAGGCUCUUACCCCACAACUAUCUAAUGCACCGCAGGCCCAUCUCUUAGCGAAGCUUUAAAGGCUUACCUUUAAUCCGUAGAUCACUAUUCGGUAAUUAACAAUUCGUUUACCAAUUGGUAUCCCAUCUAAGAGGUAGUAACCACGUGUUACUCUACCGUUUGCCACGUAGGUAGGUAAAUUCCACGUUCCUUCUUCUUUUCCACUUCUCG
rnacentral:rRNA from 1 species